CCAGUGCCUGUAGGGAAGGGAGAGAGGAGGAGCAUGUGGACAGGUCCUAGGCAGCAGCCUCCAGGCCAGGAUGCUCCAGGGGGAACGAGUUAGGUCCCAAGGGGGCUCUCAUAACAACCCCGAGUCUUGAGUUUUGGAUGCCAGAAUUGAAAGGGUGGCGUGUGAGGAACCACCCAAGGCCAGGCAGUCUCACAGCUCCUGAGGUUCGGGCUGGAUUCAAGCCAGGCAAACCUCACAACCUACCGUGUCUCUGUCUCUUUCUCCCUAAGUGUCUCUACCUCUCACCCCUCCCUCCCUCCAUCCCUCCAACCACCCCUCCAUCCACCCUUGUAGGGAGAGGAGACCAGGACGCUGCAGAUCGUGAACAGCGAUGGAAGCGAGCUGCAGAGAGGUACAAAGAUACCCCCCACCCCGUUAGGCACCAGUGAGGAACUUCCAAGCACUGUAGAGGUCCUGCGACCCAGCACCAGCUGACGUGACAGCUCAUCACAUGCCAGGCACUACGCUGCUACUUAACUCUUUCCACGGCAGCAACUUGUGCCCUUCUCCUGAAUCCCUGUGUCACGGAGAGGCUAAGCAGCGCGGCCAAGGAAUAACCACAGAAGUCCUUGCCAUCAGCCCCACUGUCUCAAGAAGGGCCGAGAGGGGCUGGAGCCGGUCCCUAGUGAAGCGGAGGGGCUGUCGCUGCAGCUGGCCUUCGCUCUGAGGUGGUGCGUCUAUUGUUAGCUCAGUCCCUGUGCUUUGGAUCCUGUACUCCUGAGGACCAUUCCUCACCAGCUUCCGCCCAGGCCAUGCUUCCCCAAUGCCGCUCUCAGCUAAGCCAUGCUUAGCUGAGGUUCCCUCAGUUCCCGCCUCUCCAAGCCGCCUUCCUUCCCAGUGGGUGACAGUUGAGUCUCCUUCCCUCCAGGACUCCAGGGAGAUCAUUCUGAGGCUCGGGGAAGGAGAAACCAAAGCUUAGAAGUUUAAAACAAACUUGCCAAGAUGACAUAGCUCUCUGCGCAUUAGUAAAGCGGGAUUUCCAGCCUCUGUCUGCUCCACUCCAGGAAGAGGCAAAGACAAAAACAGCGGUCGGUCGGUGUACAGGAGGCAGCGGCAGGCAGGUGCCUGGGAGUUCCAGGCCAACCUGCUCUACACAGCAGCUUCCAGGCUAGCCAGGGCUACACAGGGAGAUCCUGUCAGAUGAGAGACGGACCUAGCCUAGCCUGAGCUGCUAGUGUAGAGGGAUUGGCUGGUGGUCCCAGUACUUGGAAGACGGGAGCAGGAGACUCACCAAGAGUAACAGAAUAAAACAAAAACAGCCAAACCUGAAAAAAGUUACAAGACAGCCUGGGCUGCAGAGUGAGACCCUACCUCAACACACGUGCACGCGCGCGCGCACACGCACACACGCGCGCACACACACACACACACCACACCAUACAAACAAAACAAAACAGAAAAUGAAGAAAAGUGUGAAAGGCACUAAGUUGGGAUGAUGUCCUGGUAUGAAAACUCCUGACUGAGGGCCAUAGACCUGGUCAAGGGACUGUGGGCUAACUGUGGACAGUGCAGAUUAAAACAGAGUGAGACAGGGGGCUUUGGGGUGUGUGCUUUUGAUUUGCUCUCUCUGCUACGAAUUUACACAGACACCUUGGUAAAUUCUGCCCCUAGGGACUGGAGCUACAGCUCAGUGGUUGUCUAGCAUU